rnacentral:lncRNA from 1 species
CCUUCUUCCUGUAUGGAAGAGUUAUAUCCCUUAGAAAUGGAAUACAGCAGAGCUACUAAAGAGGAACUUGCCAAUAAUAAAUGCCAAGGUGAAGCCUAUCUGCUGAGGCCAACAUAGUGCCCCACAGGACAUGUGGGUUUUGCUUUACGAGUAGGUGAUUCAUUCUCAUUAGGAUUUAUAGGCUUAAACAUUCUUCAGAAUGAGAAAGAUUGACAAAGAUGUGGACAAAUGACCUCUUCCCCCAGACUCAUAUUUGGGAAAGUGGUUUGAGACUCCCAAUUACUCGGGAGAUAAAUGCCAUAACCACAAACGUCAUUCCUUUCGUACUCCUUUAAUUGUAUAAUAAUGCAGCUAUCAUUAUAUCAUUUAUUUGCAGAAAAAAACAUUUAGCAUAUACACUGUAAAAUGCAUUUGGGAUUGUUUGUUUUGUUUUGUUUUUCUUUGUUUUUGUUUUCCAGACAAGUCAGUUCAGGGAGAUAAGAGAAAUCUGAACUUAAUUAUUAUUUUAAAAUUUGAAUAUGAGUUAAGCACGUGCCUUUUAGCACUGUCAGGACUUACAGACAUACCUGGAAGAAGACUAUGAAUGACCAGGGACAUCUCUUGUGAAUCCUAACGGAUUAGUUAGGAUAUAAUGUAUCUGAAAGUUAUCAUUCUUUUUUAAUUAUCAUGAGAUCCCUCCUUUAGCAAAUUAUUUUACAGGUCAGAGAAACGAAGUUCACUUAUGUCAUUUCCUGUCCAGUGCUCACUUCAUCCAUGAUGUAAGUGGGCAAUGGUUGUCAGUCCUCUCUCAUAAUAGAGCUGUGUCUAACACUCCCAGUGGGUUGGAAUUAUCUUAGAGGUCUGCUCCUGUUGUCAUGCCUCAAAGUGUGUUUGGAGUCUAGCAAGCCUCUUGAUGGAGGAACACACAGAAAUUUUUAGCUCUGAAGACUUUCACCACACUACCCAUGUCCACAUUCUUUUUCUCAGAUCCUGUCUUUCUCUACUCUAGAUUGGUUGUCCUUUAAUUCUUUCCCUGCAAUACGUAUUCCACAAAUCUGAGUAAUUCUAAAUCAACUUGUUAAACAAAAUUUAAAAGUAUGUAAAAAAUCUAGGCAGGGCUGGAUGCAGCUGUGGGCAGCCUGAUCUAGUGAUCUCACCCAUAGCAAUGAGUUGGAACAAAUGUGUCUUUAAGGUCCCUUCCAACCAAGACAAAUUUGCGAUUCUGUGAUAUGCAAGUAUUGCAUACUAUGGAAGUGUUUGGCAUACUAGUUUUUGAUUGCUGACUGAUAGCUUAAUUAAGAUGCUCUUCAUGAAACUUCCCUAACACUACCUAUUUAUGUUUCUGCCAAAAAAAUGAGCUGUUUUCUUCAGCCUAUUUCAAAAGUUUUAUCGAAACUACAUAUAAUUUUUCCUUUAUCAGAUCUGUUUUUUUUCUAUAAUAACUACCAUUUUCAUUGUACUUAACAAAGUAAACAUGAAACACUGGAAUAAGCAUGAAUUUUCAAAUUUUGUUAAAUAGAUUGGUCUACUUUACUCCAUCAUUACUAGCCACAGCUGAUAACCUGGUAGACCACUUAGUAAGGUCAGGCUAUUUUCAGUGUUUUUAUAUACCAAAUGGAGGCUUCUCAUGAUUCUACGUAGCUCUUGACUCAGCAGCUCAAAGAACUAUUUCCCUGUUUCCUUUUUUGCCAUGUACAUCCAGUCCAUUUCCAUUUCAGUGAACACACUGCUGUUCUCCAAGAAUUCCUGAGUGUUAUCAGAUAGAGAGGGGUGUAACAGAAAUGCUUAACACAAUGCAUUUUCAAAUGUAAUGUUUCCAGUAGUCCACCAAAAAUAAAUUUCAAAAAUAAAUUUUUACUGUUGGUAUAUAACUGGUAAAUGGUUUGAUUUGUCCUGUUAAUGUCUUCAUGUAAUUAAACCUUUUGAUUUUGUUGACAUUAUUAAAACCUUUCAACUCAAUAGCUGAAAAAAUCAUCCUAUGAGGGCCUGUUUUCCUUCAAUAUACUUUUCUUGAACAAGAUGAAAGAAAAGGCCUUAUUCUGAUAUAUUGUAUGUUAUUCUUUAUGAUUUAGAACAGAAGAAACAGUUAAUUAGCUUUGUUUCUAGGUUCAGUGACUUGAAAACUUUGGCUUGGCGAGCUUUGAAUGUGGGAAUAAAUUUGAUAGGAAGCUUCAGUGGUAUAAAACGAAUUAUUCUGUGGCAUUUUAAGCACAAUUAAACAUUUGUGGGAGUUUGUUUGUUCUUUAUUCUCUGGCUGUAAAUUUUAGAUCCUAUUGUAUAAUGAGAAGCAUUAAUUUAAUACUCUAUGAAUCAUCUCAGUUUCUCUGUUGCACAGAAUAAUCUUUAUUUAUUUAUUUAUUGGUUUCCAAAAUGCUGCAUAGAUAAGUGAAAAGUACUAGCUUUUAUGCAUCAUUUUCAGGAGUUGAUGUGAGUCUUCCUAUUUCUUUUAUAAUGGAAUUUGAUUUUCCUUCCACCUUAACUUCAUGUUAAACUUAAAUUCUCUCCGAUACUUUGGUUGGUCCCUUCCUCCCUCUAUUUGUUACAUAGAUCAUAGAAUCACAGAAUCACAAAAUGUCUUGGGGUGGAAGGAACCUCAAAGAUCACCAUGUUACAGCCCUUGCUGUGGGCAGGGUUACAAGCCACUAAAUCAGGCAGUAGAUCAGGCUGCCCAGGGCCUCAUCCAAUCUGGUCUUGAUCAUCUCCAGUGAUGGGACAUCCACAGCUUCUCCGGGCAGCCUGUGCCAGCAUCUCACCAAAAUUCCCCCCCUAUAAUCUAAACAUCUCCCUUAAAUCUUCUGUUUUAGUUUAAAACCAUUCUUCCUUGUCCUAACACUAUCUACUCAUGUCAAAAGAUGAUUUUCCUCCUAUUUAUAAGCUCUUUUCAAGUACUGAAAUGCUGUAGUGAGGUCUUCCUGCAGCUUUCUCUUCUCCAGGAUGAAUAAGCCCACAUCCCUCAACUUUUCUUUAUGUGAGAGGUGCUCCAGCCCUCUGAAUAUCUUUGUGCCCCUACUCUGGACCCACUCCAACAGCUCUGCAUCCUUCUUGUGCUGGGGGUGCCAGUCCUGGAUACAUUAAUCCAGAUGGAGCCUCAUGAGGCCAAAGUACAAAGGGGAGACAAUCCAUUCCCCUCUCCCUGCUGGCCGUCUCACUUUUGAUGCAAUCUAGGGUGCUGUUGAAUACAUAAGAGCUAAGACAUAUGCAGUUUAUUGUUCUGAUACCAGCAAGUUCCUUGUAUUACAUUGGUCUCCCAUUAGUCUUCCAAAUUACUACUUAUUAUUACUAUUAUUUUAUUAUUGGUUUGCUGUCUAUGCAAUUCUGUACAGUUAUACUCAUUUCCCGAAGAAGUGAUUUUCAGACUGCUUUGAUUAGGUUUUUGUGACCUCUAAUCAACUCCUUGCAUUACUUUAUGCAUGCUGAUCAAGGCCAUGGGCACCACUGCUUUGAUUGAUCUGUUCAUGGGGACACGCAGAACUCAGUCCCCUUUAUUUGCUCCUGUACUGGGAAGCAUGGAGGCCAUGAGAAUGACAAAAUGGGAGUAGGUGCAUAAAGGUGUAAACCAAAGCUGCAGGGAAAAAAUAGUUCUUCCUAUUCUGAGAGCAAAAAAAAAAAAAAAAAAGAAUUGUGAAAAUCUGAAAAUUUCUGAGAUUCACUAAUCUAAGGGUUUUUAUUGGAUAUUACAAAAUAGGCACAGCAUAUACCUAAAGAAGUAAAUUGAAGGAGGGAGGGCAUGAGCAUAAGACAUUUGGCAUUCAUAAUGAAUAUGAAUUGUGCUGUAUAACUAUGACUGGUGAGCAAAUAUUUGAAGAGAGAAGUAAUAGAGGAGAAAAAGGAAAUUCUUGUCUGAAAGGCUAGAAUCUGAAUUUUUACAAAGGUAGGAAGCUCUUAGAAUUGGGAUUUUUUUAUUAAUUAGUGUCUUAAAAUGUGUUAAAUAUAUAUAAGUAAGUAUAUAAAGAUUUAUAUAUAUAUACAUUUGCCCAUUUACUUAGCAUCUGAAUAGAUUUAUUUCUUCCUCCUAAUUAGUUUGGCAAUAACUAUUUAAGUUACAUUGCACAUCUUAUUAUCUCAAAGGUCUCUUAUGUUUUCCAGAUUGUUAAACAACAGUUUUGCUUGUUUGUUGUUUAUACUCAUCUUUCAGUCUUUCAGUUAACGUAGAUUACAGUGAAAAAGCUAAAUGAGGUAGAGCUCUGUGCCAGCUUUUAAAAUAUGCAAUGGUUUGGCUUCUCUGAUUUUGCCCUUGAAUUGUAGUACCGCAGCGUUGUUUGGCCUGGUCACUGCUAUGUUCUGCAUGUCAUCAUUUUUGUAUUGGGAUAAGAGAUUUUUCUUUUAGAAUAGUAGUAUUGACAAGAUUGGCUUAAUUCAUGUUUGUAAAAUAUUUUCAGAUCAUUAGUGAAAAUGGUGUUACAUUACACAAAACUACAGAGUUAAAAAUUCAAUUCCUCCUGAAACAUGUGUGAAUAGAAGAAACAUGUUAUUUGAUAAUUGGUAAGAGAAAAACAUAUUAUUGCAUUCCAAAGCCCAAAGCAAAAGGAUGAAUGGGUCUUAUUCAUAAGAUUAUUCAUCUUACCCAUUUGAUUUAUUUUGAUUCUGUUUCAUACACAUUGUAUUUGAAAACCAGAAUAUUUCGAAACUUUUCUUGAAAAAUAUAUAGUUUUAGAAUGGAAUAUCUUUACAAAAAGAGCCGAAGUGAUUACUGAGAAAAAAAUAUACCUGUUUUCACUAAGUUUCCUUUGUAAAUUUUGGAGGAAAUUGUAAAUAUUUAAGCAUCAUUAGAGACUGUUGGGUUUUAACAUCAACUUUUAACUAAGUGUAAAUGCAAAUCAUUAAAUAACUUCAAGAUUUAGGAGAUUUAUUUUAUCUACCUUAGAAAUAAGCACUACUUUGCAUAUUUGAAUGCUAUGUAUCAUAUCGUGAAAAAUCAGAAGAAAACCUUCACUGUUGCUGUCUGUAUGAAUAUUAGCAUCCUGUCAAUCCAUGGAGUAAAAGCAUCCCCUUAUCACAUAUCUAAUUACCCCUUCACAUUUGCACUCUGCAGAAGUCUAAUACUUUCUGUUUUCAAUUGUCUGUGAAUAACUCUCACCUUGUGAUUCAAUCAAAAGACUUUUUCUGUAGACGUUUGAUUUAAACUUUACCAUUAACAGGAAAUGAGUAUUAUUGAACUCUAAAAGAGAGCAAUUGGUACACUUCAUGAUUUAGACUUUCUGACAAAAAAAAAAAAAAAAAAAAAAGCUGGAAGGUGAGUUUCUGAAUACCCUUUGGCCAUUAACAGACAGUGGGUCUUUUGGACCACAGUGAAAUUAGUUUGAAAUAACCCCCAAAGCAACGCACAGGUUUCACAACUCUUUGUGAGUCUGUUCCCACUGGGCAGUUCUUUUCAUCCUUGCAGCCUCCGCUGUAGGGAAGCCAGCAAGGCACAGCUCUAAUCAGUCCUUUUUUUCUGAGAGAAGUCAUAUAUGCUUGUGUGUCUAUACAUACCUCUCCUCUAUGCCCAUCUAUACUUCAUUUUUAAUUCAUCCAAGAGAAUUUGUGCAGAAGACCAGUAUGUGCUGAAGAUUUCAGAGCACAGCAUGUCUAUCAGACUUGUUUGAACCACUUGGAGAUUUGAGCCAGCCUAGAAUUGCAUUGCUCUAACAGUUAAAUGUUUUUGGAGUUUUUGACUUGCUCUCCCUAGCCUUGAAUUAGCUUCUACUUUUGUGCCGUUUUUUAUAUAUUACACCGUAGAACUGUAGUUUACAUUACUGUACUUUGUAGCAGUCAGCUAAAACUGGUUGAGUCUGGGGAUUUGCAAGGAUCCAGUGGUUAACACAACCACUUGCAAAUAUGCUUUUAUAGCACAGUCCAUAGUCUUAAGCCAUGACUAUGGCUCUUGAAGUUCACAACGCUCUUUGCUUGUGUGGCAUUAAUUUAAUUCUGAAUUACUGUGUCAUGAUAUCACAAUUCUGAGCCGAACUGGGAAACGUAACUUGAAGAGAACAUAUAAAUAUUUAUUUAAUAACAAGACUUAAUGUCUGUGGUUUAAGACAAUGACGCUUACAGGCAGAUUUCACUCUACAGAAUGGUGUAGGCCUUAAAUGAAGCUGUUUUCAAAAAUGAAAAAAACUCUGUAUUGAUGUCAUUAUCUGAAUAGUUUUAAUUUUAUAAAAGAGGAAAGAGUUUUACCAUUCCAUAAGACCUCAUUUCACAAAGGAUUUCAAACAUGAGAUAGGAGAAAUUUUAAGUGCUGGUGUCAGACAUAGAAGUAUUCCUUUGAACCUUGUAACCUAAGAAGCAAAGAAUAAGAAACUGCUUAAUACUGAAAAGAAAACUAUUUUUAAUGAAAAAUGGAAAAUAAAAAUACUGCUUUCUUAUUUUACUGGAAAUGGAAGGCCUUCAUUUCUGUGACACUUCAAUCCAAAGGUACAUACAUAACUUAUCUGUACAAGGAAGCUUCUUCCUAAUUUCAAGGAUAUUUAUUGUUUUUACCUGGAAUUGAUUGAUGUUCUACUUUCCGAAGUACCUCUUGAAGUUCAGCCAAGGCAAGUUUGUUGUUAUCCUGGCAGUAUGUACUGCAGUAUUUGUAUUAAUACUGGUUAGGAAAAGUUACCUUCCUUUAUAUUCUUGUAUGUAUUGCUCUUAACAUUAUCCACUGUCAUUUUUAUAUUAAGUCUUUGACGUUGUUCAUGUUGAUUUUCAAUAAGAAUUUUAGAAUGCCUUAAGCAUGAUCUAGCUACAUCUGAGUGAACACCAUAUCAUUUUCACAAAAAUGAUAAACUAACAACUGAAAUUGGUAGCCAGGGAACAGCUGAUCUGUGCUGUAAAACUAAUACACCUUCAGCACAGUUUUGGGAAACGUUUUGAAGCAAGGUCUGUACUGCUGUACAGUGUGUAGACUGUUUGGAGUGUGACUCAUGUCUAAUUCACAUUUUUCGUAAUAAAAAAACAUGCCACUUUGAAUGCAGUGAAUGGAUGAAUCAGCCUCGAUGGUAAAUUAUAUUUUUAAUCAGUGUUUAUAUGACCUAGCAUUCUGAAUAUUGCUGCAAACCCAAAUAUAUUACUGAUAAUACUUGUUUUCCUGAUCAUAAAAAUUCUGACUUCCAUAAUUUUCUGUAGAAGGUUGACUUAGUUUGAGGAUCAUAGAAAGCAAAGACGCAUUCAUGAGAUAAAUGUCCGCAUUGUGGAGAUCAAUAAUAAUGAGAAAUGAGAAAUGACAACUGAAUGCAACUGUUUUUUGUGGUUUGUUGGUUUUUUUCCUCUUACAUUAACAUACUAAAUCAGCUGUCUAGUGAUAUGUGUUUGUAAAUUGUUCUUCAUGAAGGUGACCGUAGCUUAUAAAUUUCAAUUCCUUUUAGUCUUAUAUUAUUUGUACUGAAUACACAAUGCUUUAUGUUAGCUAGGCAG